rnacentral:rRNA from 1 species
AAUUUUGGACAAUGGGGGACACCCUGAUCCAGCCAUCCCGCGUGUAUGAUGAAGGCCUUCGGGUUGUAAAGCACUUUUGGCAGAGAAGAAAAGGUAUCUCCUAAUACGAGAUACUGCUGACGGUAUCUGCAGAAUAAGCACCGGCUACCUACCUGCCAGCAGCCGCGGUAAUACGUAGGGUGCAAGCGUUAAUCGGAAUUACUGGGCGUAAAGCGUGGGUAGGAGGUUCGGAAAGAAAGAUGUGAAGACCCAGGGCUAAACCUUGGAACUGCAUUUUUAACUGCCGAGCUAGAGUAGGUCAGAGGGGGGUAGAAUUCCACGUGUAGCAGUGAAAUGCGUAGAUAUGUGGAGGAAUACCGAUGGCGAAGGCAGCCCCCUGGGAUAAUACUGACGCUCAGACACGAAAGCGUGGGGAGCAAACA